rnacentral:rRNA from 1 species
GACGAACGCUGGCGGCGCGCCUAACACAUGCAAGUCGAACGAGCGAGAGAGAGCUUGCUUUCUCACGCGAGUGGCGAACGGGUGAGUAACGCGUGAGGAACCUGCCUCAAAGAGGGGGACAACAUUUGGAAACUACUGCUAAUACCGCAUAAGCCCACCGGUCGGCAUCGACCAGAGGGAAAAGGAGCAAUCCGCUUUGAGAUGGCCUCGCGUCCGAUUAGCUAGUUGGUGAGGUAACGGCCCACCAAGGCAACGAUCGGUAGCCGGACUGAGAGGUUGAACGGCCACAUUGGGAAUGAGACACGGCCCAGACUCCGACGGGAGGCAGCAGUGGGGAAUAUUGCACAAUGGGGGAAACCCUGAUGCAGCGACGCCGCGUGGAGGAAGAAGGUCUUCGGAUUGUAAACUCCUGUUGUAGAGGAAGAUAAUGACGGUACUCAACAAGGAAGUGACGGCUAACUACGUG